AAGGAUAUAACUCAGCGGUAGAGUGUCACAUUGAUGUAGUGGAAGUCAUUAGUUCGAGUUUGGUUAUUCCUA
rnacentral:tRNA from 1 species